rnacentral:rRNA from 1 species
UCCGUAGGUGAACCUGCGGAGGGAUCAUUACUGAGUUUACGCUCUACAACCCUUUGUGAACAUACCUAUAACUGUUGCUUCGGCGGGUAGGGUCUCCGCGACCCUCCCGGCCUCCCGCCCCCGGGCGGGUCGGCGCCCGCCGGAGGAUAACCAAACUCUGAUUUAACGACGUUUCUUCUGAGUGGUACAAGCAAAUAAUCAAAACUUUUAACAACGGAUCUCUUGGUUCUGGCAUCGAUGGAGAACGCAGCGAAAUGCGAUAAGUAAUGUGAAUUGCAGAAUUCAGUGAAUCAUCGAAUCUUUGAACGCACAUUGCGCCCGCCAGCAUUCUGGCGGGCAUGCCUGUUCGAGCGUCAUUUCAACCCUCAAGCUCUGCUUGGUGUUGGGGCCCUACAGCUGAUGUAGGCCCUCAAAGGUAGUGGCGGACCCUCCCGGAGCCUCCUUUGCGUAGUAACUUUACGUCUCGCACUGGGAUCCGGAGGGACUCUUGCCGUAAAACCCCCCAAUUUUCCAAAGGUUGACCUCGGAUCAGGUAGGAAUACCCGCUGAACUUAAGCAUAUCA